rnacentral:rRNA from 1 species
UUGCGCCUACGGGGCGCAGCAGUAGGGAAUAUUGCCCGAUGGGGGAAACCCUGAAGCAGCAACGCCGCGUGGAGGAUGAAGGCUUUCGGAUUGUAAACUCCUUUUGUUAGAGAAGAUAAUGACGGUAUCUAACGAAUAAGCACCGGCUAACUCCGUGCCAGCAGCCGCGGUAAUACGGAGGGUGCAAGCGUUACUCGGAAUCACUGGGCGUAAAGAGCGCGUAGGCGGGAUAGCAAGUCAGAUGUGAAAUCCUGUGGGUUAACCAUAGAACUGCAUUUGAAACUGUUAUUCUAGAGUAUGGGAGA